rnacentral:rRNA from 1 species
AUGGAUCCAGCGGCGAAGGCUUACCUCGACAAGCUCACAGCGACGAUGGAGGCCAACACCAGGGCCCUCACCGCGGUCACCUCCCGCCUCGAUGAUCUCGACGCAUGGCGACCGGAUCUGGAGCGCCGCGUCACCGAUCUGUCCGACGUGGUCACCACUCUGCAGCAGGCGCGGGCAAACCCCAUCUCCGACAACAACGGGGCCGUGCCGCCGCUGCGUUCUGUGGCGCCUCCGCCCGCGCUGCCCACUGACAAACCGGGCCUGGCGGAAGGUGGUGAGGACGCCCAUCAAGGGUCUAAGGACCAUGACAAUUUCUACAUACAGCAGGGGGGGGGGGUGUCGUUCCAGACGCCGCCGCCACUCCCGGCCAAUGGUCAGAUCGAGAUCUCAUCUUCCCCUUUUGCUCAUGCUAGUCAGAUGCUGGCGGGAUUGGGGCAAGCCCAUCCCUCCAUCUCGUUUCCUCAAUUGUCGUCCGAACAUGUGAAAAACGAUGUGUGA